CACGGGGGGAGCAAGCGUUGUUCGGAAUCACUGGGCGUAAAGGGCGUGUAGGCGGUCAGGUAAGUGGGAUGUGAAAUGCCUCGGCUCACCCGAGGCACUGCAUUCCAAACUGCUUGGCUUGAGUAUGGGAGAGGAUGAGGGAAUUCCUGGUGUAGCGGUGAAAUGCGUAGAUAUCGAGAGGAACACCUGCGGCGAAGGCGGGUUGCUGGGCUGACACUGACGCUGAGGCGCGAAAGCUAGGGGAGCGAACGGG
rnacentral:rRNA from 1 species